UUUGCAAUGCAUACUUGAAGGCUUUAUGUUUAAAGCCUUUUGUCUUCUUGCUGCAUAUGUAGACUUCAUCUAGCCUUCCUAGAGAUCACACACCCAAAGCGAGAUGACGGCCACCAAGUUUUAUUUUAAUUGUCACUGACGCAUUCAGCUUGUUUCUUGCUCUGCCUUCAGACCCUUUUGUUCGUUUUGGUUUGUGGGAGACGAAACAUUGAGGGUGAGGCUCUGUGUCAUCCUGCUUGACAUUUUGAAUUGGUAGUUUAGGCUCUGUGGCUUUGUAUUGCUUGUUUUUGGGAAGUGGUGGUGCAAGACUUUUGCUAUGGUGGAAGAAAGAAAACGAGGCAGAGUGGGAAGCUUCUGGUAUGAUGUGUAUCACUGAGAUUGAAGGAAGAAAAGAUGGCUUUUUGUGCAGAUUCUUUUAGCAUCGGAACUUGGUCAUUUGUGAAUGACGUUACGUUCCAUCAUUAGAAGCUGCAGCAGCCAAGCACGUUGAGACUGCUGCCGUUCAUGAACGACCAUGUACGUCUCAACGCAGGAGCAUAUCACAUGAGGGUUGGCCGUUCAUGAACGACCAUGUAUUUCUCGGAGACUCAACAAAAGAAAGAAGGUUGUUCAUGAACAGCCUAUCUUUUGUUGACAGCAAGCAUUCUGGACCAUGUAUUUCCCUAUUAAAGACAACGGGUACAGAAAGGAUGCGUUGUAUACCUGAGCUUCGCCUUUGAAUUAUUGAUGGAAGGACCUGCUUUGAUUCUGGCAGAACUUGGGCCUCUUGAUUGCUGAUGUUUUCUCCCCUCUCCCCUCUGUAGCUGUUUUUUCCUCAGUGUUUUCUGCCCAUAUAUUGUAGUCAUUGGAUAGGUGUAACCGGAUAGAUAACUACUUGUAUUUUGUACUUGAAUUUGAAUAACAAGUCUAUCCUUAUCUGUUG